rnacentral:rRNA from 1 species
CCCUUAGAUGUUCUGGGCCGCACGCGUGCUACACUGAUGCAUUCAACGAGUCUAAAACCUGGUCUGAUAGGGCUGGGUAAUCUUUUGAAAGUGCAUCGUGAUUGGGAUAGAUGAUUGCAAUUCUUCAUCUUCAACGAGGAAUGCCUAGUAAACGCAAGCCAUCAGCUUGCAUUGAUUACGUCCCUGCCCUUUGUACACACCGCCCGUCGCUCCUACCGAUUGAAUGAUCCGAUGAAUACCAUGGAUUGAGAGUACGAAUAGGUUCGCUUAUUUCUGCUGCUCGAGAAGUGGAGUAAAUCUUAUCAUUUAGAGGAAGGAGAAGUCGUAACA